rnacentral:lncRNA from 1 species
CACGUUGGUUGAGCACUUCCUCCUCCAGAAGGUGGACCACCAUGAUACGGUGGAUAACCAGAGGAUGGUGGUGGAGUUGUGAUCGGAGGUGGGUUAAUGAUCGGAGGGAGAAGUCCUGGAGGUGUUGUGAUUGGAGGGAGAAUUCCUGGAGGAGUUGUGACCGGAGGUGGGUUAAUGAUCGGAGGGAGAAUUCCUGGAGGAGUUGUGACCGGAGGAGGUCUUACCAUUGGUGGUGGAUAGACGACUGGAGGAGGUCUUGAGAUAGGCGGUGGCCUCACCACUGGUGGUGGAUAAACCACCGGAGGAGGUCUAACAAACGGCGGUGAUGUCCCUCCACCAUGAU